rnacentral:rRNA from 1 species
UACAGAGGGGGCGAGCGUUGUUCGGAAUUACUGGGCGUAAAGGGCGCGUAGGCGGCCCGCUAAGUCGAACGUGAAAUCCCCAGGCUCAACCUGGGAACUGCGUCCGAUACUGGCAGGCUUGAAUCCGGGAGAGGGAUGCGGAAUUCCAGGUGUAGCGGUGAAAUGCGUAGAUAUCUGGAGGAACACCGGUGGCGAAGGCGGCAUCCUGGACCGGCAUUGACGCUGAGGCGCGAAAGCUAGGGGAGCAAACGGG